UGAGCAGGACACUAGGGCGUCUCCAAG
rnacentral:piRNA from 1 species